CCUUCCACUCUAAAAUGCUAGCUCUUUUAUAUACUGCACCACCAACAAGGGCCACAUCACGCAGCACAACCAUGGAAACGAGUGCAGCUUCAUAGCAAAAAACCAAGCAAGUAAGUUUCUGAAAAUGAAGCAUAAUACUUCAUUUUCAUUUGGUUAAUCCACAAAAUAGAUAACAACUAUUCAAGCGACUCAUCUAAAACCUUUUCGCACUCAUCAGAACAUCUGUGGGCUAAACGGGGCCAAGGAGCAGUAGCUUGACACAACAGACCACUGACAUAUCUCUUAAAUCAAACUUCGUUCAACCACCUCAAGCCAGGAAAAUUAUUGUCAUAUAAGCAGUGUCUAAAAGAGCAGUACGCGCUGAUGAUGAUUGCAACAACAGUAGGGGAAAAGGAGACAACGAAACAGUUCAGGAGGAAAAACAAAAAGCUAAAGGACAUGCAUAUAGAUGACCAAAGGUAAUUCCUCGUUGACAUGAACUAUUAGCAGUGGAUAUGACAUUUGACGAAGCAGAAGGAACUAACAUUAGC
rnacentral:lncRNA from 1 species